rnacentral:rRNA from 1 species
UACGUAUGGGGCAAGCGUUAUCCGGAUUUACUGGGUGUAAAGGGAGCGCAGGCGGCUUGGCAAGUCUGAUGUGAAAGGCUGGGGCUCAACCCCAGGACUGCAUUGGAAACUGUUAGGCUGGAGUGUCGGAGAGGUAAGCGGAAUUCCUAGUGUAGCGGUGAAAUGCGUAGAUAUUAGGAGGAACACCAGUGGCGAAGGCGGCUUACUGGACGACAACUGACGCUGAGGCUCGAAAGCGUGGGGAGCAAACAGG